rnacentral:rRNA from 1 species
GGAGUUUGGACCGUGUCUUAGUUCCAAUGUGGCCGAUCACCCUCUCAGGUCGGCUACUGAUCGCUGCCUUGGUAGGCCGUUACCCCACCAACUAACUAAUCAGACGCAGGCCCAUCCUCAGCCGAUAAAUCUUUGGCGUAUGUGAGAUGUCUCACUUACGUGUUAUGAGGUUUUAAUCCCGGUUUCCCGAGGCUAUCCCUCUGCCAAGGGGCAGGUUGCCUACGCGUUACUCACCCGUCCGCCGCUUUCCGCUCAAUCACGCUACCGAAGUAUUGGUCAUGAGUUUCUCGCUCGACUUGCAUGUGUUAGGCACGCCGCCAGCGUUCAUC